rnacentral:rRNA from 1 species
UACGUAGGAGACGAGCGUUGUCCGGAGUUACUGGGCGUAAAGGGUGCGCAGGUGGCGGCGCGCGUGGGGGGUGAAAGCCCCCGGCUCAACUGGGGAGGGUCAUCGGUAACGGUCGUGCUAUGAGUGCAGGAGAGGGAAGUGGAACUCCGGGAGUAGCGGUGAAAUGCGUAGAGACCCGGAGGAACACCAGUGGCGAAGGCGGCUUCCUGGUCUGCGACUGACGCUGUGGCGCGAAAGCUAGGGGAGCAAACGGG